CAGCUCUGCAGUGAUGAUGAAAUACUGAAAGCUCGCGCUCGACUUAAAAGUGAAGACAAACAAAGUGAACAGGAUGCACUGAAUCUUUCUCUGGUGUCGGUCCAUGCUGAUUCUGGUGCUAGUUCUUC